CUUCCCUUUGUGUCUGAGUCUGAAGCAAUGACGGAGUCAUUAGACAUCGCUCAUGUAUCACUUGUAUCAUUUCCUACCAGGAUAUAGCACCCUGUCUUGCCAGCUCCUUGGUGCAGAUGAAGAAACAUGUAGUCUGUAAAUAGCCAUUCUGCGCCGCUCUUGUUGCUGUUUUAAUUUGAAGAUUUGGAACUGGACGAUAAAGAGAUCGUUGCCUCUAGGUUCGGAUGGGGAUGAGUAAGAGAUACUUACAGAAGGCAACAAAAGGAAAGCUGCUGAUAAUCAUUUUUCUAGUGACCUUGUGGGGGAAGGCUGUCUCCAGUGCAAACCAUCACAAAGCUCACCAUGUGAAAACGGGGACUUGCGAGGUGGUGGCUCUGCACAGAUGCUGUAAUAAGAACAAGAUAGAAGAACGGUCCCAAACGGUCAAGUGCUCCUGCUUCCCUGGGCAGGUGGCAGGCACCACACGAGCUGCUCCAUCUUGUGUGGAUGCAUCCAUCGUGGAACAGAAAUGGUGGUGUCAUAUGCAGCCGUGUCUGGAGGGAGAGGAGUGUAAAGUCCUUCCAGAUCGGAAAGGAUGGAGCUGUUCAUCGGGAAAUAAAGUGAAAACAACUAGGGCAAACGUGUAAAAAACUCUUCAAGUUGGAACGGAGAAGUAGAAAGAGGAGCUUUCUGCUGUGCCUGAUGACAGUUUUUGAUUUGCCACAUUCAAAAUUUUUCUGGCUCCACGCUGGAGCGGUAGUUAUGGCGAUUCCUAGGUGUUGGUCGGAUUCUGAGGAAGGGGCAGACGUUCCCUUGAGAAGUAAAGAUUCAAAACAACUCCAGAAAUGAGCGCCUGUCUCCGUUCAUUUCUCACAGAGCAGCAGGUAACCCAUUAACCACACAUAAAUCAAGCAAUCCUCAAGGCUGGGUUCAUGGAGACACACGCAUAGAGCCUUGACUCCUGUGGCGAUCUUGAAGAUUUUUAUACCUCUUAGAAGAGGGGCUUUUAAGCCUGUUCCCAAGGGAUUCCAUGACUUGUUAUCAGCUUCCUAUUGAAACCAAGACUUUGCAAAAGUCUGAUGUGAACUUCCUGUCCUGAAGACUUCGUCAGAUGUGAACUGCUCUUGGCUUGUUACACUUCUGAAGGAAGCAGACAGUGCUCUCCAUGAAGCCGGUGCAGAGCUGGUGUUUUGGGGGUGACACCAGAGACUGCCACCUGUCGGGUUCCUGGCUUCAGCUGUGACUGUUCUUGUUUCUGAAGCUGUCUCCCAAGUCCACUGUCCUGUCAUGGAUACGUUCCUGGGUCCUUUGUUCAUUGUGUAGUAGGACUGUACACAGCUUGGAUGACGUUUCCUUUGCGAACUCCUCUGGCAUGGCGUAGACUGAGACAAUUUUACUGGUAUUCUAAUCUUGAAACUCUGAAAGCCUACAUAUUUUAACAUCUUACUCUUGCCUUUGUGAAAGGAAUGGAAGCAUUUCUCCAUUGAUAAUGGUAACCAUUGGCAAGUCACCAUGACCUGAAUACAUCAAUCAUAUAAGAAUGUAUAGACGUGCUGACAUGUUUCCCCAAGGCUAACCCAUGGCUGCCGCUCUCUGUCAUUUAAACAGAUAGCAGUUAGGAUUGGAUUCCCAUUCCCAUUGCACAGUACUCCGUACCUCCAGCACACUUUCCCAUGCAGUUCUUUUUUUUUUUUAAGUGUACUUUCUUUUUAAUGUUUCCCUUUUCUUUCCUUUACAGAAAUCAUCAGUGUGUAGUCAAGUUAGUAGGUAGCCUUCCAUUUAAAACAUGCCAGGGAUGCCUGUGCUUUUCUGACUUCUCAUCACUUAUUUUUAUUUUAACAUUUUCUUAAACCAUCCUUUCUGUCUCAUUUUAACAUUGUCUCUUGCUCGAUUCCAAUGACUGCUUGAAUGCUUAUAUAUUUGUUCAGUCUGUGGGUAGAAAAAAUUGUUCAUUUUCCUUGACCUCAAAGGUCUAAAAUACUUGCUUACCAUUUUUUUCCAUUCAAAUGAUUUCUUAGGCCAUUUUUUUUUGCCCAUAUUUUCUUAGCCAUCUGAAACUUGUGAUUUUUAGUUCUUUAGGAGAGUCUUACAAAUAUUUAAAGGCCUUAAACUUUGAUUUGCUUUUUUCUAAGUUGUUACAGAAUGUCUAAUUUUAUACUGCAUUUAUUUUGUUUCACUUGUGAUGUGGAAAGAGAGAACAGUGGGUACCACUAAGUAAUAAUACCGUGUAAACCUGUAGUUGGAAGGAAUGUAAAGGCAAGGAUUUUCCAUGUCUUAAUAAUUUCAGCUUGAUCAAAAGAUGCUUCACAGAUAAUCCUAUUAGAUGGUCCAUAAUUUUGGUAGAAGAGUGAAGGUAUUUUGAACUUCUUAUACUUCUAAAGCUCACUGACAAGGCCAGUUAACCAUAUGUUGGUUUCUGUGAUGGAGGUUCAAAUGUUAUAGAGAAUUUGGUGUUACUCUGUAACAAUAUUGAAAGAUUCAUACAUUAACCAGACCCUUUACUGGGAAAAACAACUGACAGUGUAAAAUCUGUUAAAAAUUAAAUUGGAAAACUAUAUUUUUAAAUAUUGAGCUGAAGUCAACUGCCUCAUGACUACUUGGAAUGAAAUGAUUCCUGCAUCCCUUUUUAUUGAGCAUAAAACCAAUUGGGUGGUUCCAAGUAGGUUGUACAAUGGGUCAAAACUACACAGAGUCAAAAUGAAAGGAAUAACAGUUGUGCUGGCUUUUCUAUGUUGAAUAAAAUAUCAUUAAUUUCUUUGGAACAAAAUGAAAAACUAUAUCAUUUUGGACAUUAUGAAUUUAUCCUGGGUUUGUUUGAAACUAUGGAUCAUGCUUCUCAUUUUGAAAAUUUUGUCAUUUAAAACAGCACUGGAAAUUCUGUAUUAUAUAAAAGUGUAAUACAUGCAUAUCGAUAGAAAAAAUAAAUGGAAUUUCAAAUAUAUGAAUUAGAUUAUUCCCAGUAGAUUAAUGUUGUGACUAUUCAGAAAAAGUGAAUAAAAUUGGAAUAUAAAAUUGACUCACUUUCACAAGUACAGUUUGGAGAAUCUGGUUUCUUGUAUUCUAUUUUAAAAGUACCUUAAUUAGUAACCAAUACAAUUCCAGAUUUAGAAAUACACUAACAAAUUCUUCAAUCCUCUUUUAAUAAAGUUCUGUGCUAAACUCUCAGUUUA